UGCACCCAUUCUCCACCACCAGCCCACACGUGGUUUUGUUCAGAUGUAUUUCUGACUGUGGUCUGUAACCAAAAAAGUUGGAAGACAUGUCUAAAGGCUCCUAAGGUAAGAAUGGUACUUCUUUAAAACUAAGAAUUUUUUCAUUGCCGUGUGUGUGUGUGUGUGUGUGUGUGCGCGCGUAGGUGAGCCUGGAGGAAAUCAGAGCAGGAGAAAGGAUGAAAGGACACUCACAUUGUGAGCACUUGUUACCCACCAUGCACCGAGCACAGCGCUUUACCAAUUUGCACGUAUUUUCUCCUAAAUCUUCACAUCAGCCUUGUGAGACGUGGUUAAAUCCCACUCGGUAGAACAGAGGUUCAAAGAAAGUAAGGAACGCACCCAGAGCCAUAUGGCAAGAAAUAUGCUGGAACUGGAAUUUGCACCCAGGCCUAUCGGUCUCCAAAGCCACCUGACCACUUUUCCCAUCUCGGGUGCUCUUCCCAAGGCCCCUGCCUCUGCAGGUUGUACUUCCCUGCCUCACUGGCACAUGACCUUGGCCCAGGAUUGCCUCCAAAUCACCGUGAGAGAGGCACAGUUCAUCCCAGGACUUCAGAUCGUCCACAGAGUGUCCUUGGCCCCCUGCCCAGCUCACACCUGCCCUCCAGAUGCCAGGACCUGAACAGCUCACCAUUCCGCCCGAUGCUUAGACGGCUCUUGCCAGUCGCUGGCUCCUUGGUCUCUCACUGUCUCUCUCUGUCUCUAGAUGGUGCCCUCUUGCUGGAGGACCGGCUCGACCUUUCCUCUCUGAAAGUUUUCAUGUGUCUGCUCCCACCCAGGGAGGUGGAGGCUUUCUUUUGGGUAUUUUCCGUUCUUCUGACCAUGAAAAGGGCAAUCACGGAGGAGAUGUUUCAUUAUCAAGCAACUUCGAGACUAGUGAUUGACCAAACACCUGGGCACCUAGGCCCCCACAUCACACACAUGGAACUUCAGCAGCAACAUUGGAUGAGUUUCACACUCAGAUGAAGUCUGUUGCUAGGCUCCCUUGA